rnacentral:lncRNA from 1 species
GCACACAUAUCCAAAAUCACCUAACGGAACUACUGCAACUGACGGAAUUCCAUUCUAACCCCCAGAUCAAAAUCUCACCUGUCAACCGAACAUCGCCAAAUUUCUAACUUUGCCAAUUCAAUUCUAAUUCUACACCGGGCCUCCAAGUUCAGUUCUAAUUUCUCUCCUAAGUCACAAAUCACCACCCGAAACUAGUCAAAUCAUCGGAAACCAUUUCGAGCCCUCUAACUCAUAAGUCAAC